CUAAGAUCAAAUGGCUAAUUACAGUAAGGCAACGGCUUUUCUUAGUGUUGCAGUUUUUCUUCUUGCCCUUGUUUUAGUGCAUGUUGCCGAAAGUCGAGUGCUUCCCAAAUCUGGUGAUGGCAAGGCAAAAUCAAUUCUAAUCUGCACUGAGCCAUAUGGAGCAGCAGAUGGUGACACUUGCUUCAGCAUCACAAAAUCCUUCAAUCUCACCACUGAUUUCUUCACAGCCAUGAAUCCCAACCUCGACUGCGACAAGAUCUUCAUUUCUCAAUGGCUUUGUGUAGAUGGCUUCUCUCUCUAGAUUUGGUUUCAUCCAUUUGAACCACAUCAUCAUGAUGAUGAUGGAGAAUUAAAUAAAUGUGAUUUUCAAUAAUAAGUGUUUAGGGUUUCGUCCCUUUGCUUUUGUUUUAGUUAUGGUCUGUACUGGUGAGAUUCGAAUUCGAGACCUUUUUGCUGUAAGUUGUCUGUUUCGCCCGGCGUCUGGUUAGGGCGUCGGGCCGAAGGGACUGAAUAAGGGCUUAAGUUAUGUUUGUUGUUGAUUAAUAUAAAGCAUUGUUGUUAUAAGAUGUCUAUUUGUGUGUUUGUUAA